AUUAAUAAGCGGAGGAAAAGAAACUAACAAGGAUUCCCCCAGUAACGGCGAGUGAAGCGGGAAGAGCUCAAAUUUGAAAUCUCCGACGCUUGCGUCGGCGAGUUGUAGUUGCGAGAAGCACUUUCUAGGUGGAUCGGUGGCGCCUAAGUUGCUUGGAACAGCAGGUCGCAGAGGGUGACAACCCCGUCUGUGGCGCCGCCGGCCGCUGACGAUGUGCUUUCGAAGAGUCGGGUUGUUUGGGAAUGCAGCCCAAAAUGGGUGGUAAACUCCAUCUAAAGCUAAAUAUUGGCGCGAGACCGAUAGCGAACAAGUACCGUGAGGGAAAGAUGAAAAGAACUUUGAAAAGAGAGUUAAAAAGUACGUGAAACCGUUGAAAGGGAAACGAAUGGACUCAGCAAUGCGCCGCUUGAGAUUCAGCCGGCGGGCGGGAUCGGCGCGGGGUCUUGCGGAUCCGAACGGACCGCGGUCCCGCGCUCGUUUCCCCCUGCCGUCGCACUUCUCUUGGGCGCGCGUCAACGUCGGUUGGGACUGGGUCUGAAAGGUGCCGGGAAGGUAGGUCCGGGUUCCCCCCCUCGGGGCGGGCGCCCGUUCUGUUACAGCCCGGUUCUCUCAUGGCUCGGGCCCGACCGAGGAGCUUGCAGCGCAUGCCUCCUGUGGCUAGGGUCCCGCCCUUCCGGCCGGCUGUCGAACGCGUUGGACUGCUUGCAGUGUUCCGCAACCGCAGCCGGUCGUUGGGGUGGUGAUCUCGUACCAUGCGCUUGGGAUGUUGGCGG
rnacentral:rRNA from 1 species